AUUGAACGCUGGCGGCAGGCCUAACACAUGCAAGUCGAGCGAGCGACGGACGGGUGAGUAAUAUAUGGGGGUCUGCCCGUUAGAGAGGGAGAACUAAUGGAAACGGUAGCUAAUACCGCAUACUCUCGAAUGAACCCAGAUGGUAUUAGCUAGUAGGUGCGGUAAUGGCUAACCUAUGCGACGAUCCCUAGCUGGUCUGAGAGGAUGAUCAGCCACACUGGGACUGAGACACGGUCCAGACUCCUACGGGAGGCAGCAGUGGGGAAUAUUGCACAAUGGGCGCAAGCCUGAUGCAGCCAUGCCGCGUGUGUGAAGAAGGCCCUCGGGUUGUAAAGCACUUUCAGUGGGGAGGCGUUACCGACAGAAGAAGCACCGGCUAACUCCGUGCCAGCAGCCGCGGUAAUUC
rnacentral:rRNA from 1 species